UACGUAGGUGGCAAGCGUUGUCCGGAAUCAUUGGGCGUAAAGCGCGCGUAGGUGGCCUCAUAAGUCCGCUGUGAAAGUCAAAGGCUCAACCUUUGAAAGCCGGUGGAUACUGUGAGGCUAGAGUACGGAAGAGGCGAGUGGAAUUCCUGGUGUAGCGGUGGAAUGCGCAGAUAUCAGGAGGAACACCAAUAGCGAAGGCAGCUCGCUGGGACGUUACUGACACUGAGGCGCGAAAGCAUGGGGAGCGAACAGGA
rnacentral:rRNA from 1 species